CCGACUUCCGAAGAGACUGUCAAACUUGGGACCGGGAGAGGCUAGAGGUACUUCUGGGGUAGGGGUAAAAUCCUGUAAUCCUAGAAGGACCACCGGUGGCGAAGGCGUCUAGCUAGAAACGGAUCCGACGGUGAGGGACGAAGCCCUGGGUCGCAACGGGAUUAGAUACCCCGGUAGUCCAGGGUGUAAACGCUGCCGACUUGGUGUUGGAGGCCCUUCGGGGGCAUUCAGUGCCGGAGAGAAGUUGUUAAGUCGGCUACUUGGGGGAGUACGUCCGCAAGGAUGAAACUUAAAGGAAUUGGCGGGGGAGCAACCCGCAACGGGAGGAACGUGCGGUUUAAUUGGAUUCAACACCGGAAAACUCACCAAGGGCGACUAUCACAUGAAAGCCAGGCUAACGACCUUGCUUGAUUCUUAGAGUGGUGGUGCAUGG
rnacentral:rRNA from 1 species